rnacentral:rRNA from 1 species
AACGUAGGUGGCGAGCGUUAUCCGGAUUUACUGGGCGUAAAGGGUGUGCAGGCGGGCUGUUAAGUGGUGUAUGAAAUCGCCGGGCUCAACCGGGCGAGGUUAUGCCAGACUGGCAGUCUAGAGAGCGAGAGAGGGACGUGGAAUUCCGGGUGUAGUGGUGAAAUGCGUAGAGAUCCGGAGGAACCCCAGAGGCGAAGGCGGCGUCCUGGCUCGGCAUCUGACGCUCAGACACGCAGCAUGGGGAGCGAACGGG